UUCACCGUACAUGUACAUCUUGGAAUCGGUUGGAUGGUUGGAUGCAGUCACGUAAGGUUUACGAGGUUUUUCUUUUUGUCAUUUAUAUUUUGCCUGGGUUACUGUUACUGAAAUCCUGAAAUGAGAGUCUGAGAGAGUAUCACUGAAUCAGGAAUCAAACUAUCAACCCUAUAUUUAUGUCUUCCCUCGACCAAAAAUUUCUUUUUCAUCGUUUGAAUUUUUAUUUUCCAAUUUCGAUUCAAGAACUUCCAAUUCAAAUUCUCAUCCUUCGACUUCUGCCGCCGAUUCUACUUCCGCCAUCUGCAAUGCCGCCGAAUCUCGCCUUAGCUCUUGUGAUCUUCAUUCUUCAAUUUAAUCAAGGCCAUUAGAUUGACAAGCCUUGUUGAUCAAAAAGAUCAACUGGCGCUUGCUCGGGUUGCUCCAGAAUAGAAAGAGCUCAUCAUGACCACAUUAAAAACUGUGGGAAGGAUGACAUUAAUAUGUGGCGAUGGUACAGUGAUGUUAGAGCUCUCAAGCAGGUAGUUUUUGUACUUCAUGGUCUUCUAUUAUGUUGCAUACUGAUGUGUUCGCAAAGAGUGAAUUUUUAAAUAAUGCCUUGUGGAAAAUGAAAAGAAAAAAGAAAAAAAAAAUGAAAAGAUUGCAUGGUGUAAGUUCAAUCAAACUGUUUAAAUGUGUGAGAUGUCUUAAUUUCUACUAAGCGUGAAAUUUCAUGCUAAUUGAACUGUCUAGAUACUAUGUUACUUGAGCUUGUGACUUGAAAUAUGAUCCGGAGAGCAAACCUUUCUGUAACAUUUACAAUACUUGGCUAUGAUCACCAUGGUCAGGGUAGGAAUGGACUACUGCUUGGCAUGGAAAUGUAUUGGACAAUUUUAUCAUUGAUCAAGAGAAAGUUGUGCUCUUUCAGCGUUGCUUGGGCUUUUAUGUUUCAUAGUGAGAUUGAUGAAGACCGUUGAGUAUUUGAGUAUUUGCAUAUUUAAUCACCUCCUCAAUAAGGUGCUUGGGGUUUGGUCAAUUGUUGUACAUAUGUGUUUGAACUAGUCAGAUGAUUAUCCAGCUGAUGCUGGGAAGUGACUGGGGCAUAGAUGGAUGGGGUUCUAUAGAGGAUUAGAAGUUGAUGUUUUUGUGUGAUACUUGUUAGACUUGUCUUGUUAGAUGGAUGGGGAAUAGAGGAUUGGAAAGGAAACUCAGGGAAGGGAAGUGAAAAUGAAAGAAGAGAAAAUUUGCAUGUUAAGUUGGAUUGUGCCAAUAAAUUUAGCAACAGCUGAAAGAAUUAAUUAAGUCUCCAGAAGCUUUUGUAGAUUUCCCUUGUUACUGCCAGUAUCUCACCCGUCUAAAAUUCUCACCAGUUGAUUUGACGAUAAUUUCACCAGGGGGGGUGUUUAGCUAUGAGGAAGCAUAAGUUUGAUAGAAUUGAUAGGUGGUAAACCUGUAUACUUGAUAGGGGGCUUUCAGGGAAGGAAAAAAGUAUUCCAUAUUUUCUGCAUGUUUGUAAUUGCUUCUUUUACACCCUUAAAGAUAUAACAAUCUGUCCUAUUUUAUGCUGAACUCAUUCAGAGGGACAGCAUCACAAUCUGAUACAAGGUUCUUCUCUAGUCCAUGCUUUACUACAUGUAGUAGGCUCUAUAAUCAAUGGUUUUGCUCUGCUAAAAUGUAUUAGGCACAUGUUGGGGUGCCUGGGGUGGGGUGGUUUUGCUAAAUGCUGUCCUCAAACCAAAGUGGAGAUCGCUCUGAAGCUUCGAAAUGUAACUACUACAUCCAAGUCCAAGAAACAAGAGAUUGCUUCGGAGGAUAAGAAAGUUGUCAGUGUUAGGCAGUUGAGUUGCAGAAACAGCUGGAAAUAAAUGAUGGAAGAGAUGAAUGAAGAUGGUGGUGAUGGCCGUUCAGCCCCUAUUGUGAAGUUAGGGAAUGCGUCUAUGGCUUCGCCAUUAACGCAUGCAUCAGUGGACCAAAUUACAGAUAUCAUGCGUCAGGGUCAGAGUACUCUUGUUACUACACUUCAGAUGUUCAAUUUAACUGCCUUGCAACUGCCUACGUGUUCGGUGUCAUGAACUUGGAUGGUGUCAAGCUUGGUGAUAUCCAGGCAACUAUUAGUGUGAGGUUUUCAUUGCUGCAUUUUUCCUAUUCAUCUCCCAUGCUCACCCAAUUCAGACUCUCAGCUGAUUGACCACCCAGUCCACCCCAGUAUAUUCUGCUGUUACGUUUUUCUCUCUUUAAUUGGACAGUUUUCUGUCCACCUCCAUUACUUGACUAGUGCCGGGAAGGAGGCUGGGAAAUACAUGCUUGAUGAAUAUAUUGAGCCAGACUCUAAUUUUUAUCCAAACCUGGUAAACACAGUUUCAUACAUGGUUCAAUUGAUGUUGCAGGUUGUCACAUUUGCAGUAAAUUACAUGGGGUAUCCUUUUAAGCAGAGCACUACAGAAAACAAGCCCUUACUUUAUUCUCUUCUAGCAGCUGUUGGUUUCUGUGUCGUCAUGAUGUCUGAUUUAUUAAGGGACCUCAAUGAUUGGCUUAAGCUGGUGCCCAAUUGCCCAUGCCCGCAGCUUUAAGAGAUAAACUAUUGAUCUGGGCUUUGCUCAUGUUCUCAGGUUGCUAUUUCUGAGGUCGUCAUUCCCCAGAAAAAUGCCUGCUUGGAAUGCCAGCAGAAAGCUAUGGGUAACUUGGAGAAGAGAGGUCUAAUUUUUUGGCAAUGAGUUACUGAUGAAACUAUUUCAUCAACCUUUAACUCAUCUCCCUGCUGCUGUCGCCAUACAUAGAUGGAACAAAAUGAUGUUGGCUUACAUGUAGCUAUAUGUUACUUGUUUUAAGGUUAGUUGUGUUGAGAAUUUUUGUUAGGAUAUGCUUCCAUAUUCUUUGCAAAGAAAUGAAUUGCUGAUUUAAUUCCUUCAGACA